rnacentral:lncRNA from 1 species
CCUCUUCAUCUUCCCCCUUCAUCCUCAUCCUCCCCCCCUUUCACCCUCUCCACCCCCCUUCAUCCUUCCCCUCCCUCCUCAUCCUCCCCCCCCCCCCCUCACCCACCCCCCCGGCCCCAUUCCGACCCCGCGGCCAUAAAUCAGAGCUCAGUGGGACGCAGCCAUAUGGGAUCGGCGCGGAGCAACGCCGUCCUGAUGGGUUCCGGCGGCGGAGCGACGCUCCAUCAAAUCCAUGGAGGGGAUGCGAGCCCGGACGAGAGAGUGACCCGAACCCACGGAGCCCUCAGCGGGACCCCCCCCCCAAAUGGAACCCACCCUGGGAUCGCCCCAUGGAGCCCCCGGGACCCUCCGGCGGACCCCCCCCCCCAUCCAUGGAACCUCCCGACGGAUCCCCCCCCCCCCAUGGACCUCUCCCCCCCCCCCCGGGGGGGGCGCACGAGAAGUUUGAGAGGAGCGGCUGCAGAGAGCAAUUCCCAUCCGCGGGAGGAAGGAGAGGCCGAGAGAGGGGGAAGAUUGAAUUGAAGCCCCGGGGCCAUUAACCCGCUGCCCUGGCCCAACUCCAGCUGCAGAAAUUAACGACCCCCAACCCCAAAAGCUCUCCGCUAUCUGAGCAGCCAUUUGGUGUCCUGGCAGCGGCGCGGGGGGAAGGCGAGGCGGUCAGAUAUGACAACAGCCCUGAAAUACGGAGGCACUCCGUUAAUAUAUGGACCGCAUUCCCUGUAAGAAUUAUUUAUUAGGAACUUUUAGUUACUAAGUGGCGCGGUGAUGGAGUGCCCUGGGGGGGGGGGGGGGGUUGGUGGGGGGGGGUCCGGCCCCAUUGCAUUCACACUGCGGUGCAGCGGCCGUCUGGGCGCACUCGAGGAUGACCCAUAAAGCUGUCAGAGCUGCAGUAAAUCAGGGAUGCCUGAGGCUCCAGGAAUUCCCCUCCGACAGCUUUGGGCCAUAUGCUGAGAAAUGGG